CGGUUCGGGACGCGGAGUGUCGUCUCGUGAACCCGCGACGCGGAAGACCCGCCGAGAUUAUUUUCUAAACCGAAUUUGUGUAUCCGAUUCCGAGUCGACUCGUGUCGCGGUAAAAACCUCGGAAUUCCUGGGGCGUAGCGCCACCACGGGGGCGAUUUAAGUGGCAUUAAACCGUUCUAGGACAUUAAGCAAAAUCGACAUCACCGGUUACAGUGUGCGGUCUAUCAAUAGACGGUUCUCUAGGAAUUCCCAUUUACUCGGCGUUUCCUGCCCGCUUCCGACUUCAUAACGCUCCCUUUGACUCCGGAGCGAUCGGGAGAAGAUAGAAGUGCCCCAGGGUGCCCUUAGAGCGAGGAAGAGUGGAACUCUCCCCCGGGAGGCCGACGAGCCGGCUCGGACGCGUUUCGCGACAACACAGCGUCCAGUUUCGCCGCUCCACAGGUGUCGGUCCUCCGUGGGUAGUCGUAACGGAUUUUCGGGUCCGCGUUACCUCCGAUUUCGGUUAGAGGAAAACCGACGAGGGACGUAAAACGCAUGUCAAUACGCGACGUACAGAGUGGACGGGAGUGGACAGGAGUGGACGGAGCCGGCGGGGAAACGCGCGGAAAUGGGCGAUAAAGUGGCUGGACCGACGUCUCGCGUCUGCCGCGCGUCUUAGCCGACCAACCGCGACCGACCGCCCCCGAUGAAGGUGCUCUACUAUGCUGAGGCAUGACGUCGUCUCGCAUUUCAGGGAGACCUUGCCCGCAGUGAGGUGGUGGGCUGGGUCCCGGUCCCGAUCCCGGGCGGCGGCCGUCGUCGGGAGUCGGGGCGCUCCGGAGAGGAGGUGGCGGUGACGGUCCCCCACGCCACAUGGACCCGGGCCCCGCGGGACCCCCCAGAUCCCGAUUCCGAGUCGAAAUCCGAGUCCUGCCCAGGGCCCCGGGCCCCCGGGUCCCCUGAUGCCCCCCCUGCGCCAGGGUAGGUGCAUCCUGAGCCGCCCGGCAUUCCCGUUGGCGCCGGACGUCCGUCCAAUCACCGUGGCCCGCCGCAACGAUGUCGCGCAGCGCCGCCACGCGCCCCAUGCAAGGUGAGUGAGCCUCUUCUUCAUUUUCCUCUUCUUCCUCUUUGUAUGCGCACGAAAGAUCGCCAUUUCCAACCGAUCUUCAAUAUUUCUU